UUAUAAUUUUAUUAUUUUUAUUAUUUAUUUUUGUAUAUUAAUUAUUUUUUUUUAGUAAUACUUUGAAAUUAAUUUUUAUUAUAAACUGUAUAGGUUUAAUAUUUAUAUUAAUGAAUUAUUAUUAGUACCUUUUGUAUCAGGGUUACUUAAAUAAUAAAUCUAUAUUUUUUUCCCGAAAUGAAAAUAUCUAAUUUUAUUAUGUUUUUCUUGUUUCAUAAAGUUAAUUAAAUUAAAUUUAGUAAUUAAAAGUUAAUCGUUUUUCAUAAUAUCUGGUUAAUCAGGAUUUAAUUUAAUUAUAGAUUAAAUGUUUAUAAUAAAAAUAUUGUUUUUUUAAUCUUAUUUAAUACUGGAUAAUCUGUAUUAUUUAUUAAAAUUUUAUUUUUUAAUUAAAUUUAAUUUUUUUAUAAUCUUAUAUUGAGUUCGUAAUAGAUUAAUUUAAUUUAUUUAUAAUUUUGUUAUAUUUAAUUUUAUACUGGUUUUAUUUAACUAAUUAUUUUUUAUUUUUAAUAAUGAGUGAAUUAGUAUAAUUAUUAAUUUUUUUAUAUGAAUUCGACAAAGUUAAUUUUCAACUGUUUAUCAAAAACAUUUCUUUUAGAUUAUAUUAAAGGUAAUUUCUGCCCAAUGAUUAAUUUUAAAUGGCUGCAGUAUUUUGACUGUACAAAGGUAGCAUAAUAAUUAGUCUUUUAAUUGGAGACUAGAAUGAAGGAAAAAAUGAAAAAUUUAUUUUAUUUAAUUAAUUAUUAAAAUUUAAUUUUUAAGUUAAAAAGCUUAAUUUUUUUAUAGGGACGAUAAGACCCUAUAGAACUUUACAGUUUAAAAAUUAAGCUUUAGUUUAUUAUUUAAUUUUAAUUUGUUUUAUUGGGGUGAUAAAUAAAUUUAAGCUACUUUAUUUUAUAAUUUCAUUAAUUAGUGUUUUUAUGUUCCAUUUUUAUAUGAUUAUAAGUUUAAGUUACCUUAGGGAUAACAGCGUAAUUUUAAUGGGGAGUUCAUAUCUAUAUUAAAGUUUGCGACCUCGAUGUUGAAUUAAGAAAAGAUUAAGGGGUAGGUUCUUUAUAUUCUAAGUCUGUUCGACUUUUAAAUUCUUACAUGAUUUGAGUUCAAACCGGUGUAAGCCAGGUUGGUUUCUAUCUUAUAAUUAUAUGUUAAUUUAGUACGAAAGGACCAAUUAAUCCAAUUUUAUAUUGAUAUUUUU
rnacentral:rRNA from 1 species